rfam:Gossypium raimondii Chr10_contig_1380, whole genome shotgun sequence.
UAAACAAAAUUACAUCUAUUUCUACUAUUAAAAAUUGAUAUGACUGAUAGAAUAAUUAAACAAAUAGGUAUAUAUAUCUCAUUUUGACAUAUAAUAACCAGUUUUUAACAGUAAAAAUAGAUGGAAUUUUUA